rnacentral:rRNA from 1 species
UACGGGGGGGGCAAGCGUUGUUCGGAAUUACUGGGCGUAAAGGGCUCGUAGGCGGCCAACUAAGUCAGACGUGAAAUCCCUCGGCUUAACCGGGGAACUGCGUCUGAUACUGGAUGGCUUGAAUCCGGGAGAGGGAUGCGGAAUUCCAGGUGUAGCGGUGAAAUGCGUAGAUAUCGGGAGGAACACCUGAGGCGAAGGCGGGCUACUGGGCCGAUACUGACGCUGAUGCGCGAAAGCCAGGGGAGCGAACGGG